GACGAACGCUGGCGGCGUGCUUAACACAUGCAAGUCGAACGGAAAGGCCUCUUUCGGGGGGUACUCGAGUGGCGAACGGGUGAGUAACACGUGAGUAACCUGCCCUUGACUUUGGGAUAACUUCAGGAAACUGGGGCUAAUACCGGAUAGGAGCUCCUGCUGCAUGGUGGGGGUUGGAAAGUUUCGGCGGUUGGGGCUGGACUCGCGGCUUAUCAGCUUGUUGGGGGGGUAGUGGCUUACCAAGGCUUUGACGGGUAGCCGGCCUGAGAGGGUGACAGGCCACAUUAGGACUGAGUUACGGCCCAGACGCCUACGGGAAGCAGCAGGGAGGAAUAGUGCACAAUGGGGAGAAGGCUGAUGCAGCAAAGCCGUGUUCGGGAGGACGGCCUUUAGGUUGUAAACCGCUUUCGCUCAGGACGGAGCUGUGUGUGACGGUAGUGGGUAAAGAAGCACCGGCUAACUACGUG
rnacentral:rRNA from 1 species